AUGGCUUCACCAUUUGGUGCCACUUCUACUGUUGGGCUCAUGGCAGCUCCAACUGGCCUUGUAUCUGACAAGAAGCCAUUUUCGUUAUCAUCUAUCUCCCUUGCCGACAGGUCACGACAUGUGCGCCUUCAGAGGAAAUGCAACUUCAGAGUUAAAGCAGCUAAGGAGCUCUACUUCAACAAGGAUGGCUCAGCCACCAAGAAGCUCCAGGUUGGAGUAAACAAGCUUGCAGAUCUUGUUGGAGUUACCUUGGGACCAAAGGGAAGGAAUGUUGUGUUGGAGAGCAAGUACGGGUCCCCUAAGAUUGUCAAUGAUGGUGUUACAGUUGCAAGAGAGGUUGAGCUGGAGGACCCUGUUGAAAACAUUGGAGCUAAGUUGGUUAGGCAAGCUGCAGCAAAGACCAACGAUUUAGCUGGAGAUGGGACAACUACUUCUGUCGUCCUUGCUCAGGGGCUCAUUGCUGAGGGUGUUAAGGUUAUUGCAGCUGGUGCUAACCCUGUUCAAAUUACUCGCGGUAUUGAGAAAACAGCGAAAGCACUAGUCCUUGAACUUAAGAAGAUGUCGAAGGAGGUUGAGGACAGUGAGCUUGCAGAUGUUGCUGCAGUCAGUGCUGGCAACAACUACGAAAUCGGUAACAUGAUAGCAGAGGCUAUGAGCAAGGUCGGACGGAAGGGAGUGGUUACCCUUGAAGAGGGGAGGAGUUCCGAGAACAAUCUUUAUGUUGUGGAGGGAAUGCAGUUUGAGCGUGGUUAUAUCUCUCCUUAUUUUGUUACUGACAGCGAGAAAAUGACCACCGAGUACGAGAACUGCAAGCUGCUUUUGGUUGACAAAAAAAUCACCAACGCACGGGAUCUUAUCAAUGUUCUGGAGGAAGCCAUUAGGGGACAAUACCCAAUCCUGAUCAUUGCUGAGGAUAUCGAGCAGGAGGCUCUUGCAACCCUUGUUGUCAACAAGCUGAGAGGAUCUUUGAAAAUUUGCGCUAUCAAAGCCCCUGGUUUUGGAGAGCGCAAGACCCAGUAUUUGGAUGACAUUGCCAUCCUCACCGGAGGAACUGUGAUCAGAGACGAGGUUGGACUCACACUUGACAAGGCAGAUAGUACAGUUCUUGGAACGGCUGCAAAGGUUGUCCUUACAAAGGAGUCGACCACAAUUGUUGGUGAUGGCAGCACCCAGGAAGAAGUGACUAAGAGGGUUGCACAGAUCAAAAAUCUCAUUGAGGCAGCAGAGCAAGACUACGAGAAGGAAAAACUCAACGAGAGGAUUGCAAAGCUCGCCGGUGGUGUUGCUGUUAUUCAGGUGGGAGCACAAACAGAAACUGAACUUAAGGAGAAGAAGUUGAGAGUUGAGGAUGCUCUAAACGCAACCAAGGCUGCUGUUGAGGAAGGUAUUGUUGUUGGUGGAGGGUGCACUCUUUUGAGGCUGGCUGCUAAGGUCGGAGCUGAGAUAGUGAGGAGGGCGCUGUGCUACCCACUCAAAUUGAUCGCCAAGAAUGCUGGUGUCAAUGGCAGUGUUGUUACCGAGAAGGUUCUUUCUAACGACAACUUCAAGUUCGGCUACAACGCCGCCACUGGGCAGUACGAGGACUUGAUGGCUGCUGGUAUCAUCGACCCCACUAAGGUGGUGAGAUGUUGCCUGGAGCACGCCGCGUCGGUGGCCAAGACCUUCCUGACGUCGGACGUGGUGGUGGUCGAGAUCAAGGAGCCCGAGGCCGCGCCCCUCGCCAACCCCAUGGACAACUCCGGCUUCGGAUACUGA
rnacentral:rRNA from 1 species